rnacentral:lncRNA from 1 species
UUUCUUAUCAUAAAAAUGCGUAAAUAUAUAUGUAGACUAGAUGUUAUCAUAUGCUAACAUACACGAAAUAAUUUACUUUGUUGUCAUGUUUUUUCACAAAAAAAAAUCCUAAUUUCUACAACCGCUAAUCAUUUAUUACUGAAGUGAUUUAUGAUUAAUUGUUGGUGUUUAAUGCCGUUUUCAGCACUAUUUGCUAUUGCUUGGCAUUCAAUUUUUAUUGGUUGGAUAAGCUGAAGUGGCUGAUAGAAUCAACCACUUUCCACAGGAAAAUUGAGUUAUGUAUGAGUAAUCUUGACUCCAAAGGAGAAGAUAUGAUAAGGUCACUUACUUGCACCCUGGAUUUGAAGAAGAAAACUCAAAGUUUAUAAAUCUAUUAUAUAUUCUGAUAUUCAUUAGUUUGUAAAAUGUCAGUAUUUACAUUUGAAUUAUGUCUUACAUAUUUGUAUUUUGAUUCAAACUUCUUGUAUUUAAAGCAAACACACAAAAUCUGCCAACAUGACUCAUAAGAACUUGUCAUUAAUAUUAAAAUACAACCAACACAGUCACCUUUUCCAAAAAAAUAUUUUACUACAAAUAAUCUUACAAAAAUGUUAAUGCUGGUAAACUGUACUAUUUGGGUAAGGGUUGCCUCAUCUUUAAUUUUGCCAAAAUGAGUGUAAAAUUGUCAUUUAAGGUCAAAUAUAUCAAUUUAAACCUGUUUAUGACUUAAAUUGUGAUGUAAAUUUGACUUUCUGCAAUUUUGUGUUCAGAUAACAUCAUCAUUUCAUUUAUCAAUAAAAUCAACAUAAAUUUUAAAGGCUCAAGUAUAUUUGACCAAAUUUUCAAUAUUAAGGGCACAUUAAAUUCAGUAACAGUUCUUAUCAUACUUUUCGUUAAAGGACCUUUUUUGCUUAGUUAGUACAGAACAAAAUUAUACUUGUGUUCUGUAUUCAUACAUUGACAUCCUCAAAUGUACUGUUAGUUUGUUCAUUGCUGAGAACCUUGGAGCUACUAUUUGAUUACAUGUACAACAAUUUGAUCUACUUUACAAAAAAUUCUACAUUAUCUUACAUGAUUAACAAUUUUUCAUGGUGAGAAAAAAAAAUCUUUUUUUUUCUUUUUCAAUUUUUUUAGUCCUGUUCCAUGACUGACUCCCAUCACAUGAAUACAUUGGGAUGCAUUGUAUAUAUUAAUAAGACAGCAAACCAACAAAAAUAAGAUCAAAAUAAACAUGUAUACGGCAUCGUAGUCAUCAAUGAUGGUCAAUUAACCACACUGUAUGGCAAGAUCUAAACAUGGUCAUAAUAAAGAUAAGAUAAAGGCACAUUUGAUUUUUUUGUAAAUUUCACAACCUGAUUAAAACAUUUUGAUUUGAAUGUUACAUUGAGCAAUCCUACAACUCUGUACACAAAGAUACUUUCCUAUAGUCAUUUUGAUUCAGUUAAUCUCU